rnacentral:rRNA from 1 species
AUUGAACGCUGGCGGCAUGCCUUACACAUGCAAGUCGAACGGUAACAGGUCUUCGGAUGCUGACGAGUGGCGAACGGGUGAGUAAUACAUCGGAACGUGCCUAGUAGUGGGGGAUAACUACUCGAAAGAGUGGCUAAUACCGCAUGAGAUCUACGGAUGAAAGCAGGGGAUCGCAAGACCUUGUGCUACUAGAGCGGCCGAUGGCAGAUUAGGUAGUUGGUGGGAUAAAAGCUUACCAAGCCGACGAUCUGUAGCUGAUCUGAGAGGACGAUCAGCCACACUGGGACAGAGAAACGGCCCAGACUCCUACGGGAGGCAGCAGUGGGGAAUUUUGGACAAUGGGCGCAAGCCUGAUCCAGCAAUGCCGCGUGCAGGAUGAAGGCCUUCGGGUUGUAAACUGCUUUUGUACGGAACGAAAAGCCCCGGGUUAAUACCCUGGGGUCAUGACGGUACCGUAAGAAUAAGCACCGGCUAACUACGUGCCAGCCGCCGCCGUAA